rnacentral:rRNA from 1 species
GCCAGACUCCUACGGGAGGCAGCAGUGGGGAAUAUUGCACAAUGGGGGAAACCCUGAUGCAGCGACGCCGCGUGAGUGAAGAAGUAUUUCGGUACGUAAAGCUCUCUCAGCAGGGAAGAAAAUGACGGUACCUGACUAAGAAGCCCCGGCUAACUACGUGCCAGCAGCCGCGGUAAUACGUAGGGGGCAAGCGUUAUCCGGAUUUACUGGGUGUAAAGGGAGCGUAGACGGCAGCGCAAGUCUGGAGUGAAAUCCCAUGGCUUAACCAUGGAACUGCUUUGGAAACUGUGCAGCUGGAGUGCAGGAGAGGUAAGCGGAAUUCCUAGUGUAGCGGUGAAAUGCGUAGAUAUCAGGAGGAACACCGGUGGCGAAGGCGGCCUGCUGGACUGUAACUGACACUGAGGCUCGAAAGCGUGGGGAGCAAACAGGAUUAGAUACCCGAGUA